UGCAGCAGCAUGUGAAAAUAAACUACCAAAUCAGUUAAAACAAUGGAUUUGUUAGAUAUUGAGAGUGUGCUGAGGAUGUUGAAAUCUUCAAGGAUAUAGAAGAAUGGCUGCAAGUCAUCUGAAAGUCCGCGAUCACGAGUAGAUUGCUCAACUGAAUGCCCUUAUAAACAUGCUGUUAGGGGAACUCACCCCUGGUGAUCAUCAGAACAUCAUGACAAUAUGCACAAUUGAUGUACAUGCAAGGGAUGUUGUAGCCACGCUUAUAGCACAGAAGCAUUUACUCACUGUAAAAUCCACCUUUUGGCAACACAUAGCUCCCAAGAUCAAGGAUUGUGCUGUUUCUCUGCAUUUCCAAACACCCUCCCAUCCCCAC